UGCCAGCUCAACCGCCAGAUGUCUACAGCGGUCUCUCAGGAGGACCUCAACUUCAAGGUUUCUCCUGUGGGGUUUGUGGCUGGAGCCUCCCACUUUCUGGGACUUUCAUCUGCCCAAAGAGGAAUGAGAUGUGAGUGGGGAAGCGCCCAAACCAGCCAGCACCCUGCAAGUAGUGGCGAAUCCUUAGAGGUUCAAGACAAUCCAGAGACUAACUCAUUCAGCCUCUUACUUCUCCAGAGAGAAGAAAUGGAAGUCAUCACAGACACAUCUCCAAAGAAGACACACAGAUGGACAAGAGGCACAUGAAAAGAUGCUCAACAGCGUUAAUUAUUAGAGAAAUGCAAAUCAAAAUUACAAUAAGGUGCUGCCUCACACGGGUCAGAAUGGCCAUCAUCAAAAAGAAAUCUACAAUAAAUGCGGCAAAGGAUGUGGUGAAAAGGGAACACUCUGUUGGUGGGAAUAUAAAUUGAUAUAGUCUCUGUGGAGAACAGUAUGGAGGAGAAGAGUAUGGAGGUUCCUUAAAAAUCUUGUUUAGUUUUAAUGCUUUCAUAUGCAUCUUGGAACAUAAGGUGUUAUUUGGUUGGGGGCUUUGAGUUUUUAUCAAUGUGUGAAUGUAUCAGUUUGGGUCUUGUUUUCUUUACUGAGAACUGAAGUCUUGAGAUCACAGGCGAAGUUCUCAAUCCAAAGGAACGGCACCCAAACUUCAAGAAAAUAAUCUGCCCACUGAUUGUGCUUAAGGGAGCCAUCUUCUAUUUCUGAAACUUGCCGAUGAAGCAUCUGCUUGCAGCUGCAGAAUAUUUCCUUCUUAUUCCCUUUUAUUUCAAGGUUGCUCCCAGUAACCCAGGCAGGGAAAGGAACAGUUGAAUUGUCCUCGACUCCACCUGAAGGAAUGUGGGCAUCCUCCCAGCCUGGGGGUUUGCACCACCCCAGUCCUUACCCUGAGCAUCUCACUGGGAAAAUCUGGAGCCUGAAAGGCUAAGACCAGUUUUGGCAAAGAAGGAAGGGUAGCUUUAGGAUGAGAUCACCUAAGUCUGAGUUUCUUUCACAACCUAGACUGAGAACUCUCCUAUAAUGCCAAGACAACAGCACAGGUAUCUUUCAGGCAUUCUUUUAUUCAACCUGCCAACAUCUGUUGAGCACCUACUUUGUGCUCUGAAGCAGUGUGACCAGGUGGUUAAGGGAACAGGAUUUGACCUCAAGACCUGAACUCUAGCUCUGGCCGGGUGUCUUUGGACAAGUGACAUACCUCUCUGAACCUCAGUUCCUUUACCACUAUAAGGAGAGUUAUCACAGUACCUACUUAAGAACGGCUUUAAGGACCAAGUGAGUUGAUGAGUGUGUAAAGAGGGCUGGGCACAGAGGGAGAAUUCAGUAACUGUUAGCUGUUUUUGUUUUACGAUUGUUUCUUUUAAUCAGACAUUGCACUGGCCACCUGCCGUCCCCAAGCUUUUUGGCUCCAGGGAGCAGUUUCAUGGAAGACAAUUUGUCAUGGAAGAGGGGGAUGGUUUGGGGAUGAUUCAAAUGUUUUACAUUUAUUGUGCACUUUAUUUCCAAUCUAAUGCCACUGCUGAUUUGAUCAGGAGGUACUAGUCCCUGGCCAGGAGGUUGGGGACCCCUGCACUACAUCAUGGAGAAAUGGAAAUGAAUAAAACCUGUUCCUGCCCUUGAUCUUCAUAGACAAGUAGGCUGCCUCUAUACUCCUUUCUUCCUUAAUAUCUCAUGACAUUUAAAAAAAAAAAAAGCAGGAAGUAAAAACUACCUUCAUAGGUUGUCAAAAUGAUUCUUGGAGUUUUUUGGAGAAAGAGGGUGGGAGCGGACAGGGAUUCAUAUUAAAGUGGCUGACUAUCACCUUGGGCAAAGUCAAGGACCAGCAGAGGAAAAGUCUACAACCCCUUCCCUAGGGACUCUGGCUGUGCUGGGGCUCUAAACAGCAGAGACUUGCUCAGGAUCUAAGACAACAUCUCAAUCCCAGAUCUGGGCAACUGUGAUUUUCCUUAGUGACAAACUCGAUUGCUCCUGGUGGGGAAAGGGGGUAAAAGGACAAUUGCCACUUACUCCUACAUUUGAUUAUAACUUUGGCAAAAUUGAGAAGAACACUACAUUUUCUCUAGACUUCUACUUGCUCCCACUCUGACCUUGUCUAAAUAUUGCAUUAUUAUUCUUUAAAAGGAUAUUUUUCAAAGAUAGAAUUGCUGACUUUAAAACAAUUUAAAAGUCCAUUUUCUUGGUUGUUGUAGUAAUCCCUACAUUUUAAAAUGCAUUUUCAUUUGCAUCUGCACCCAACCUCAAAAUCUACAGCACAUGUGUCCAUCCGGGAAGGCAGCACAGCAAUCACCAGACAAGGAGAAAGACGAAGCAUCGAUUACAAUGCAUAGCUAUGCAAAUAAAAUGUACGGUAUUAUGUCUUCCUUAUGAGUGUUAUACUUAAUUUUACAACUUACUAUUUUAAAUAAAUCGGUGC